UACAAAAGUUUGAUCCUGGCUCAGGAUGAACGCUGGCGGCGCGCCUAACACAUGCAAGUCGAACGGCACCCGCCCUCGGGCGGAAGCGAGUGGCGAACGGCUGAGUAACACGUGACCAACCUGCCCUGCGCUCCGGGAUAGCCGCGGGAAACCGCGGGUAAUACCGGAUCCGCCGGACCGCCGCAUGGCGGCCCGGCGAAAGCUCCGGCGGCGCGGGAUGGGGUCGCGGCCCAUCAGGUAGACGGCGGGGCGAGGGCCCACCGUGCCGACGACGGGUAGCCGGGUUGAGAGACCGAACGGCCAGAUUGGGACUGAGACACGGCCCAGACUCCUACGGGAGGCAGCAGUGGGGAAUCUUGCGCAAUGGGGGGAACCCUGACGCAGCGACGCCGCGUGCGGGAGGAAGGCCUUCGGGUCGCAGACCGCUUUCAGCAGGGAAGAGAGCAGACGGUACCUGCAGAAGAAGCCCCGGCUAACUACGUGCCAGCAGCCGCGGUAAUACGUAGGGGGCAAGCGUUAUCCGGAUUCAUUGGGCGUAAAGCGCGCGUAGGCGGCCAGGCAGGCCGGGCGUCAAAUCCGGGGGCUCAACCCCCGCACGCGCCCGGAACCGCCCGGCUCGGGUCCGGUAUGGGAGGGU
rnacentral:rRNA from 1 species